UUGUGACUAGUCUAACCAAGACGCUUGAUUUCGGCCCAAGCGAUUCUGAACUCCAGAGUCAACAAA
rnacentral:tRNA from 1 species